ACCCUUGAUUCUCACAGAGGUGCUAUCAUGAAUUUUGGUGAAAGCAUAGAGAGAAAAGAGAACACUGAAGAGGCAGAAUCUGAAACACCUGUACCGAUGAAGAAAUCAUCCGAAAACAACCUGAGGCGGAAAAAAGGAAGGAGGCUCGGUCCGAAACACCUGUACAGAUGAAGAAAUCAUCCGAAAACAACCUGAGGCGGAAAAAAGGAAGGAGUGUUCAAAAAGUUGAAGGUGGAAAAGUUGAUGUUGUCAAAUCUGUCAAGAAGAACUCAUUGAAGACGAGAGGGCGGAAGAAAAAAAGAAUUGCAUCAGACUUGGAGGAAUCUGAACCAGAAAUUGGUAACAUUCUAAAACCCUUGUAACUGGCUUCAUUUUUAUGUAAUGACAUGGCACACGCUUUAUCGCUGCCCAAUGUUUGUAUCUAUUGAUUACCUUCUGAAAUUGUACUUUAUAGUGUUAAACCUUUAUGCCUUUCACCUGUUGAGUAACUGCUGAAAAACAAUGAGAGAUCUUGGAGCCAAUUUUCUCUCUUGUUACACUAGUUCCUG
rnacentral:lncRNA from 1 species